AUCUGACCUCAAAUCAGGUAGGACUACCCGCUGA
rnacentral:rRNA from 1 species